rnacentral:rRNA from 1 species
GACGAGCGCUGGCGGCGUGCUUAACACAUGCAAGUCGAACGAUGAAGCCGGAGCUUGCUCUGGUGAAUUAGUGGCGAACGGGUGAGUAACACGUGAGUAACCUGCCCUUGACUCUGGGAUAACUGCGGGAAACUGUAGCUAAUACCGGAUACGACCCUCGGAGGCAUCUCCUGGGGGUGGAAAGAAUUUCGGUCAAGGAUGGACUCGCGGCCUAUCAGCUAGUUGGCGAGGUAAAGGCUCACCAAGGCGACGACGGGUAGCCGGCCUGAGAGGGUGACCGGCCACACUGGGACUGAGACACGGCCCAGACUCCUACGGGAGGCAGCAGUGGGGAAUAUUGCACAAUGGGCGCAAGCCUGAUGCAGCAACGCCGCGUGAGGGAUGACGGCCUUCGGGUUGUAAACCUCUUUUAGCAGGGAAGAAGCGAAAGUGACGGUACCUGCAGAAAAAGCACCGGCUAACUACGUGCCAGCCGCCGCGGUAA